ACAACUUAAACAUACCGCGAUAUGUCGAUACAUUCGAAGAAGAAGCGCCAAUUGAUUUAGAUCAAGUCCAACAAGAUUUGAAAAAUAUCGAUAAAGAAAUCGCAGAAAUUGAACAAGAAAUCAAUGCAUACCUGAAAGAAC
rnacentral:rRNA from 1 species